GGUAGGUAGGUAAGUGGUCAAAACGGGCAGACUGUAAAUCUGUUGGCUGUCGCCUUCGGGGGUUCGAAUCCCUCCCUGCCC
rnacentral:tRNA from 1 species